rnacentral:rRNA from 2 species
CAGGAGUAGCUUGCUACUUGCUGACGACCGGCGCACGGGUGCGUAACGCGUAUAGAAUCUACCUUGUACUAGGGGAUAGCCUUUGGAAACGAAGAUUAAUACCCUAUAGUAAGUAUUUAUGGCAUCAUUUAUACUUUAAAGGUUACGGUACAAGAUGACUAUGCGUCCUAUUAGUUUGUUGGUGAGGUAACGGCUCACCAAGACUUCGAUAGGUAGGGGCCCUGAGAGGGGGAUCCCCCACACUGGUACUGAGACACGGACCAGACUCCUACGGGAGGCAGCAGUGAGGAAUAUUGGACAAUGGAGGCAACUCUGAUCCAGCCAUGCCGCGUGCAGGAUGACGGCCCUAUGGGUUGUAAACUGCUUUUAUGUAGGAAGAAACACUCUCACGUGUGAGAGCUUGACGGUACUACAAGAAUAAGGACCGGCUAACUCCGUGCCAGCAGCCGCGGUAAUACGGAGGGUCCAAGCGUUAUCCGGAAUCAUUGGGUUUAAAGGGUCCGUAGGCGGGCUAUUAAGUCAGAGGUGAAAGUUUGCAGCUCAACUGUAAAAUUGCCUUUGAAACUGGUAGUCUUGAAUUAUUAUGAAGUGGUUAGAAUAAGUAGUGUAGCGGUGAAAUGCAUAGAUAUUACUUAGAAUACCAAUUGCGAAGGCAGAUCACUAAUAAUAUAUUGACGCUGAGGGACGAAAGCGUGGGGAGCGAACAGGAUUAGAUACCCUGGUAGUCCACGCCGUAAACGAUGGAUACUAGCUGUUCGGAUUUAUCUGAGUGGCUAAGCGAAAG